CAAAUGUCCAGAGGACGCCUGGCUUUUAUUAUAAGGCGAGGCGGUGCUCUACAGAUGACGGACAGCUGCGUCAGCCAAUAAAAGACGCGACGUCCAUUCCACGGCCAAUGGUUGCAUCGCGGGGGCGGGGCUAGCUCGCUGUUUUAUUCGCAGUCUCGCCGAGCAAGAGGAGAAUCCCAAAGAAAUGACAUCCAGCUUUUCCAGAAGAAACCGCGGCGCUUAGACACGCUCUCCUGAAGUUUCCCUCCUCACAUCAGCACGGAUUACAGCUCGUUCUUCAGAUAUGUAGUGAUUAGACUUCGGAAUGUGUGUUUAAUACAGAAGGACAGUGUUUUUCCACACGAUUCUGAUUCCAAACUCCCUCAGCUUCUAUUCGGACAUGUGUGAUUUAAUGCCAGCGGCUCAGCCGGCCGAGAAAAUCGGGAAAAUGAAGAAAUUAAGAAGAACUCUGUCGGAGAGCUUCAGUCGCAUCGCCUUCAAGAAAGAAGACAGCGGCUUUGACGAGGUGAGAGACACUGCGGACGCUUUCACUUUCAUGAUCGAGUGUUGAUAUAACCCUCGUGAGCCGUUAUUGAGAGACGCCUCGGCCGUGUUUGCUGCGGUCGUGUGCUGUCUGUGGUUUAAUGGAUUUCCCAGCGCUCUGACUGUCACAGGAGCAGUGCAUGCUGGGAUGUGUGGGUCUCUGGGGUUGAAGUGUCAGCUGUGAUCAUCGGAGAGAUGCUUCAUUGUUCUCCGUUGCGUCUUUCAGUUCCGUUCGCUCUGGAAACAGGCCUCGAGUGACACACAAACGCUCGGCAGGAAGACGAAACCUCACCCUUUUUACUCUCUUACAGCCGUUACUCAGUGCUUAUUGAUCAUUUAUUCCCAGAGUAACAUUUUAAGGACAUUUGAAAUAUCCUUAUGCAGUUUUGCCGUGUUCUGAGAAGACAAACUUUAAAACCAAAUUUCUUAAAAAUAUAAUCAAAAGCAAAAUCAUUGUGUAUUCAGUCAUCGAAGCUUGGAUUUAGUGCAUGCUGUUAAACAUUCAAAACUACUAUUUUUUUAAAUUUAAUAUUAUAUAUAUAUAUGUGUGUGUGUGUGUGUGUGUGUUAAAAACAAACAAAAAAAAAAUCUAAUAAAAUAUACAUAAUAUAUAUUAUUACA
ensembl:lncRNA